rnacentral:rRNA from 1 species
UACGUAGGGGGCAAGCGUUGUCCGGAAUCAUUGGGCGUAAAGAGCGUGUAGGCGGCCCGAUAAGUCCGCUGUGAAAGCCCCGGGCUCAACCCGGGAAGUGCACUCGAUACUGCGUAGCUUGAGUAUCGGAGAGGUUGGUGGAAUUCUCGGUGUAGAGGUGAAAUUCGUAGAUAUCGAGAGGAACACCGGUGGCGAAGGCGGCCAACUGGACGAAUACUGACGCUGAGACACGAAAGCGUGGGGAGCAAACAGG